AGAGGAAAUUAUAUGAAAAACUGAUCAUAGUAUAAAAGCCCAGGCCAGCACCUCUCUGCCAGCGAUCAUAAUAAAUAUCUUUCAGCAGAAAAAAAGUUGAAGAUCCAGCUACAUUAAGGAAGAAUCUAUUAACAGAAUAAUUGUAUACUGAGGAUCCCUUUAAGAAAAGCUUCCAAAAUUCCAUUAUCUUAACUGUCACUCGCCACUUUGAGUUGUCUCAGCGCUGUGUGUUUUCAUGAAUUACCAGAGCUGUUUGUUUUUUCCUUUAUCAGUCAUCACCCUGUCAGCCGGGCCAUUCAUAACAACUUUUGGCAGCUCAUCAGGAGAGUUCAGAGCUUGAAUAGGACCCUAUCAACUCUCACACCUCAUUGUGUGAAACUGUUUACCAGCAUUGCCUUUUUCUUGUAUUGUCACCCUGGAUGUGUUGAGUUCCCUGCUGUCUUUUCUGCUUGACUGGUAACAAGGUGGCCCACAUGAACACCAACAGCAAAUGGACUGACUCAAGUCUCCUGGUCUUAACAGCCUUCAGUUCUGCCAGAUUCACCCAUCAGAAAUAAUUUCCUCUUGAAAACCAAUGUCAGUAAGUCUCUCGAUGGAAGCUAAUAUCACCAACUUGCAAAUGGGUGAAGAUAAACUGAGGCACAGAAGAUUAUGUAAUUUUCCCCAGAAUUCAUAAAUAGAAAAUGACAGAACUUGGCUUCUUAACCACUAUAUUCUAACUGCUUCCAGCAGAUGGGAAGAUGGUGGCUUUUAGAGAACAAAAUUUGUCAUCCGGAUACACCCAGUGUUUAAUGAUGUCAAUAAGGAAACAGUCCACCCUUUGGUUAAAAGACUCUUGAGUCUGCAAGGACCACUGGUUGUCCAGAGGGGACCAUGUUUAUUCUGGUGAAACACAAGGGCAUGGUCAUUUUGAUCAGUCACUCUACAGAGGGUCCAAAGCUGUGAAACAGAGUGAACUCAGGACAGACAGCUGGAAUCCUGGGAGUGUAACCUCAGCAACAGAUGAGGUAGUGAUGGAUGACUCCUGGUUAUAGUCUUUUCCUUUUCGCUCUCUCAAUUUAUAUUCUGAGUUGUUACCUAGAAUAAAUCCUACAGCUUCUAAUUAAUGCACUCAUUGUCUUUGUUUUGAAUGGGAAAGGGAAAAAAUAUGUUCAUACCCCUGCUGGCAGCAUAUGAAGUAUGCCUAAAGUGGAAUAUCUUUCUCCAUCGUGAAUAACAUUAAUCUCUGUAGUCCUCCAAAGUAACUAAUUGCCACAGAGUUGAAUUUCUAUUUGUAUGGAUGGGUGGUAUCCUUUAUGAGUUUCCAGGUGACAAUUUGUUGCAGGAAAGAUUCUCUCCAGAAACCCUUCUUAAGAUUAUCAUCAAAUUCCUUAAUCAAGAAGGAGAAGUCAAACCGGUUAGGCUAGAUGCACAGACAACCAGUUGGCAACAAACUGAGCUCAUCAGUCCUGGAUUCUUAACUGUCAGAGAGGAUGGGUGGACAAAGCUACAGCGGGCUUGUUGUCCAUUACAAGUCUCCCAAAGGGAGGGGAGCAGCCACGCCACAGUUUCUUCUAUCCUGAGCCUGUCUUGUGUUGUUCUAAGUGUGUGAGUAUGAGCU